CUGUAGCUCAGCUGGAUAGAGCAACGGCCUUCUAAGCCGUGGGUCGGGGGUUCGAAUCCCUUCA
rnacentral:tRNA from 1 species